AACGCUAGCUACAGGCUUAACACAUGCAAGUCGAGGGGCAGCACGGGAGUAGCAAUACAACUGGUGGCGACCGGCGCACGGGUGAGUAACGCGUAUGCAACCUACCUAUCAGAGGGGAAUAACCCGGCGAAAGUCGGACUAAUACCGCAUAAAACAGGGGCACCGCAUGGUGAUAUUUGUUAAAGAAAUUCGCUGAUAGAUGGGCAUGCGUUCCAUUAGGUAGUUGGUGAGGUAACGGCUCACCAAGCCGACGAUGGAUAGGGGAACUGAGAGGUUGGUCCCCCACACUGGUACUGAGACACGGUCCAGACUCCUACGGGAGGCAGCAGUGAGGAAUAUUGGUCAAUGGGCGAGAGCCUGAACCAGCCAAGUCGCGUGAAGGAAGAAGGAUCUAUGGUUCGUAAACUUCUUUUGCAGGGGAAUAAAGUGCAGGACGUGUCCUGUUUUGUAUGUACCCUGAGAAUAAGGAUCGGCUAACUCCGUGCCAGCAGCCGCGGUAAUACGGAGGAUCCGAGCGUUAUCCGGAUUUAUUGGGUUUAAAGGGUGCGUAGGUGGUUUGAUAAGUCAGCGGUGAAAGUUUGCAGCUUAACUGUAAAAAUGCCGUUGAAACUGUCGGACUUGAGUGUAAAUGAGGUAGGCGGAAUGCGUGGUGUAGCGGUGAAAUGCUUAGAUAUCACGAAGAACUCCGAUUG
rnacentral:rRNA from 1 species